GCUCUACGAGAUAACAAAAGACUUGUGUUUGAUGUGCGUGCUGCAGGUUGGUAACCUGCGCUGAACGACUAAACAUUGAUUAAACGUUGAAAAAACCACACUGGCUAGCUGGCUGGAUGCAUGCAUUGGUGCUCUCAAACAAGGAACGACGAGCUAGAAGCAAGACAGAAACCACAGAGGCGCGACAGAGAAAGGUACCCCGCUAUUGCAACAGGUACCAGAAUUAGAACGGUGUGGGGUCUUCUCUCACAAAUGGCGUUGCGUGCGGCCGAUUCUUCAAUUUUUUACCUUCGCAGCAGAGCUCCUAGUGCCGACAAACGACCAUGGUGGUGGUGGUUUCGAUCUCGAAUCUUGGUACUACGACCUCAGAUAAUCUGCCAUGGCACACAAGAGCACACAAGAGCGAAUAAUAGGAAGAUAAGCACAACAAACACGUACGGAAGGGGCCGGGGAAG